CACCCUGGGGCCAGUGAAUAGUCCCCAGACUAGUUUAUUCUUGGAAGCAGAGGCUGAAAGAGUGGGCCCAGGAGCAAGUGAUGUUGAGAGACACAGCUACACUGUGAGAUUAACUUCUCAGAAAAGCUUUUCCUCAUUUUUGUGAAAGAAAAAACAAGUGUUGAAUGCCUGAAUCCUCAGAAACAGGAACAAAGAGGGACUGCAGAGUACCAUGACUGUGUUAGAAUUGUGUAGACAAAGCUAUACAAAGAUACAGUUCAAGAUCCUUCGUUUUACAAAGUUGUUUAUAUGA
rnacentral:lncRNA from 1 species